rnacentral:rRNA from 1 species
UACAGAGGUCUCAAGCGUUGUUCGGAUUCAUUGGGCGUAAAGGGUGCGUAGGUGGCGAUCUAAGUCUGGUGUGAAAUCUCGGGGCUCAACCCCGAAAUGGCACCGGAUACUGGGUUGCUAGAGGAUUGUAGAGGAGAGUGGAAUUCAUGGUGUAGCAGUGAAAUGCGUAGAUAUCAUGAGGAAGACCAGUUGCGAAGGCG